rnacentral:rRNA from 1 species
GACGAACGCUGGCGGCGUGCCUAAUACAUGCAAGUAGAACGCACAGUUUAUACCUUAGCUUGCUACACCAUAGACUGUGAGUUGCGAACGGGUGAGUAACGCGUAGGUAACCUGCCUGGUAGCGGGGGAUAACUAUUGGAAACGAUAGCUAAUACCGCAUAAUAUUAAUUAUUGCAUGAUAAUUAAUUGAACGGUGCAAUUGCACCCCUACCAGAUGGACCUGCGUUGUAUUAGCUAGUAGGUGAGGUAACGGCUCACCGAGGCGGCGAUACAUAGCCCAACGGGGAGGGUGGUCGGCCAGACUGGGACUGGGACACGGCUCAGACGUCCUCGGGAGGGAGCAGGAGGGAAACUUUGGACAUGGGGGGAAGUCUGAACGCGCAACGCCGAGGGAGGGAAGAAGGGUUUCGGGUCGGAAAGGUCUGUUGUAAGGGAAGAAAGGGCGUUAGGGUGGAAAGUUGACACUGUGACGGUAUCUGAACAGAAAGCAACGGCUAACUACGUG